GUAAAAAUGCAUCAAGGUGGUA
rnacentral:siRNA from 1 species